UGGGCACCCCUGAUGAAAGGCAGUUUAGAGCCUCCCAAAGGACAGAACAGAGAAAACCUGGAGCUUGGAGCUCUGGACAGACAGUGUCCUACUAGCGGCUCCUUUCCAAGAGGACAGAUUCUGAAUGAAGCAACAACCACCAAGAGAAAAACAGAGUGAAGCAUUAUGGUAACCACACGAAGCUCAGUCUCAUCUGAUCUUCACCUCCCACCCAAUUGCCUUGCCUCUCUGACUUCUGUGGGCUCAGAUGAUCUCCAAUCGACCAUCAUGGCCAGCCACAGAGCCUGACUAUAA
rnacentral:lncRNA from 1 species